ensembl:lncRNA
GCCUUUUAUGAAAAAAGAAUGUCACUAAUGCAGAACUUGGGCACAGCAUUCUUCAAGCCUCCCUGAUUAGCCAGCAAUAGUCAGGGAAAGUCCAGGACCCCAUCUCCUGACCUUUGCGGAGCUCCUAGAGCACCCUGUCCUCCCUGCCGCCUUGCCAUCUGUCAGAGGACAGGCUCCAUGCUGUCUUGGUACGUAAGGGAAUAGCAUAGUAACACUGUCAAAUGAGCAAUGGGACAAGAGGCAGCUGGUGAUAAUUCUUGCCUUAGACUUUUGGCUCCCUGGGUUUCUGUCACGAGGACUAUCAUGUUCAGGAGGAUUUACUCACUAGGUAUCUGCUUCUCAAGCUCAUGGGAUGAAAAUCUGAAGGAGUCAUUUAAGUCACAGUUUUACCAAAUGGGGUUUCACCAUGUUGUCCUGGUUGGUCUCAAACUCUUGAGUUCAAGGGAUCCACCCACCUCGGCCUCUUAAGUGCUGGGAUUACAGGCCUGAGCCCCUGCUCUUUGCCAGUAUCCUUGUUUUUAACUGUUGUGGCUUGCUGAAUUAAAGCUGCUGAAUUUGAAACAAGUUCAAUACCAUUUCCUUCAAGGACGAACUCAUCUUUCUGGGGCUUGAGAUACUGAAUGAGCAACAUGUGGCCUCAUCCAAACCCUGCACAUGUAUUUUUCACCUAAGAAAUUUCAGAUUUCAGCAAGAGACUCCUGGCUAACAGUAUUGAUGGGGAAGUCAGCACGCACAGCCCUGUCACAACAGAAGGCGCAUGCAGCACCCUGGGUCAUGCUCUGUUUAUGACUACAAAAAGUGCCAAUGGUAGCCAGCUACUUUCUACCUCCCCGCACUUUGUCAACCUAGAGCCUCUUCUUUUCCUGUCUAAGGAGGCUGAAUUCUCCGCUGAUGUAACUGAAGUCCCUCCACAGGGUUCCUCUGGGCCCUUCACAAUAACCGUGUCCCUUCAGAGUGAUAUUGACAUCUUGGAAAUGGCAACAGUCUGAUUGCUAAGAAUGGUCUUCACUCUCACAGUAGAUGUGACAAAGAGAGUCAUGUAUUUUUUGAUGCUAUUACCAGGGCACAGAACUGACUUUCUUUUUCUCUUCAAUGUCUUACUUCUUCUAUCCCUCUUUCGAUAUUCACAGAAAAUUCAGAACUAGUGUCCUGGUUUAAUUUGAGUUUUUUUGUUUUUUUUUGUUUGUUUGUUUGAAACAGACUCUUGCUCUGUCCCUCAGGCUGGAAUACAGUGGUGCGCUCUCAGCUCACUGCAACCUCUGCUUCCUGGGUUCAAGCAAUUCUCCUGCCUCAGCCCCUGAGUAGCUGGGAUUACAGGCAUGUGCCACGACACCUGGCUAUUUUUAUAUUCUUAGCAGAGACUGGGUUUCACUACGUUGGCCAGGAGGGUCUUGAACUCCUGACCUCAAGUGAUCCACCUGCCUCAGCCUCCCAAAGUGCAGGGAUUAUAGGCCUAAUCUGAGUUAUUUCCAAGAUUUCUGUUUCUGAUUUUCUUUGAUGCCUCCUCCCCAAACCUAAGAUUGAAACAUAAAUUCUGUGGCUGCAGAUUCAUGAGAUGAAUAAAACA